rnacentral:lncRNA from 1 species
UGACCCCUUUGGAUGAGUGAGGGGGCUCAGCUGGACCCUAUGACCUUGCUUCACAUUGGGUAAGCCUUCUGACCUGAGGCCUUCCUGUGGUUUCAGCUGAGAGAGGCUAGUGACAUAGAGAGCCGAGGCAAAUCCUGGAUCUGUGCCUGCCUCAAGAGCUCCCUCCUUUGUGGGAGUUGCAUUUGGGGGAGCAGCAUAGUUCUCAGGGGCUCCACCUAGGCAGGCGCUAGACUGAUGGAGGAGGCAGUUGAAGGAGGAGGUAGUUUUCUUGUGGUCCCUUUGUCUAUUUAGCCAAUGAUACGAUAGGAGAGGGUCAGGUGGGGAGCUGAGACAUUCCGAAGUGAAAAGUCAGGAUUGGCUUUUUCUUCUAGAGCAUGGAGUUUUCCAAGGAUCUGUCACUAGUGUGCCGUCUGAACAGACAUCGCUGCUGACACCUAAAACCUCUUCUAAGAAACACUCCAAUUAUUCAGAUAAUUGCUUGUGCCUAAGACUGUAUAACCUAAGAGUCGGGUGCAGGCUUGAUAAAGAAUUGGAAGCCCUCUGCAAAACUGCUACAGGUGUUCUGUGUUCCGACGCCCUCCAUCACCUUGGACAGGGGUUCUUCUUCCGGCCCAGUCUCUCCCAUUUCCUCUUUUCUCCCUCCAUCUCCUCCCAU